rnacentral:rRNA from 1 species
GACAGCAGUCGCCGCGGGAAUACAGAGGGUGCGAGCGUUAAUCGGAUUUACUGGGCGUAAAGCGUGCGUAGGCGGCUAAUUGAGUCGGAUGUGAAAUCCCCGAGCUUAACUUGGGAAUUGCAUUCGAUACUGGUUAGCUAGAGUGUGGGAGAGGAUGGUAGAAUUCCAGGUGUAGCGGUGAAAUGCGUAGAGAUCUGGAGGAAUACCGAUGGCGAAGGCAGCCAUCUGGCCUAAUACUGACGCUGAGGUACGAAAGCAUGGGGAGCAAACAGGAUUAGAUACCCCCGUAGUCCCUGUCUCUUAUAC